CAAAAAUGACGGCCACCUUUUCUUCGGGUCCUCAGCACACGAGUUUGUUUACAUCCACGUAAUCAGGAAACUCAUUCUGGGUCAGAGAUGCGUCGACAGGAUUCUACAGAAUCACCUCUUUUUGGUGAGGAGGACAACUUCAGGCUAAAACAGUCCAACAUUAAACAUCCUGUAGCAUCGUUCUUCCACCUUUUCUUCCGCACAAGUGCCAUCUUGGUUUAUUUAGUGUGUGACGCUAUCAGUAGUCGUUUUAUUGUCUGCAUGGUCACCAUCAUCCUCCUGCUUUCAUGCGACUUCUGGACUGUAAAGAAUGUAUCUGGCAGGUUACUGGUUGGCCUUCGAUGGUGGAAUCAAGUGGAUGAAGACGGGAGAAGCCACUGGAUAUUUGAAUCAAGGAAGUCUGAUGGUGUCAACAAAAUAUCCGCUGCAGAGUCGCAGGUCUUCUGGCUUGGCCUUAUUGUGUGCCCCAUUUUUUGGGUCGUCUUUGUCUUCAGCACCAUCUUCUCAUUUAACAUCAAAUGGCUGGUUGUGGUGAUAAUGGGGCUGGUAUUGCAAUGGGCUAACUUGUACGGUUAUGUCAGAUGCAAACUGGGUGGAAAGUCCAGCCUGAGAAACAUGGCAAAGUCCUACCUCAGUGGACAGGUCUUCAAACAGGCUAUGAAGGAAACAACAAAAAGUUGAAACUGAAUUGGAGGCAUUCAGACACAAAGAGGUGGUGGGGCUCAAAACUCGAUGGAGUUAGUGUAUUUUCACUUGAGCAGCCUCCAUGAUUCUGACCAUCUUCUGCAGCAUUUUAGAGUCCUCAGAAAGACCUUGCUGAACGAUGCUGAUGACACCUUUGGUCUCUGCAGUGAUCAAAAUUACACAGCGUCAGUCACUCCCUAAAAAAAAAACUAUUCCCUAUCAGAACAUUUCUUCCACAACAAAGCCUCUCUCACCUGCAUCCACGUUUUCUUUGUUGUCUUCUGCAUUUUGAGGAGCAGGCCUUUUACCGAAGCAGGUGAAAAAAGCCAACCCGUUUUGAGACACCCUUGUCAACAAUAUGGAUACCAACAUGCUUAUCACCAUCAGGACUUGGCAAAUACAGAAAUGGAUUCCUGUGCAACAUAAAGAUGGUUGUAGUUAUUUUUGCUGCUGAUUUAUAUUUUC